rnacentral:snRNA from 1 species
GGAUGUGAGGGCGAUCUGGCUGCGACAUCUGUCACCCCAUUGAUCGCCAGGGUUGAUUCAGAUGAUCUGGCUGGCUAGGCGGGUGUCCCCUUCCUCCCUCACUGCUCCAUGUGUGUCCCUCCCGAAGGCACUCAGUCAAAGAGGAUGGCCUUCCCUGAAUAGAAUUGGUCUUCAGUCGAGGGUAUACGAGUAGCUACACUCCCCUGCUAGAACCUAAAAACAAGCUCUCUAGAGAAAAUGGAUUUGCAUUUCUGUGGUCUGAAAACCUGAAAUGGAAGUUAUUUUAAGGUAUUUAUCAGU